rnacentral:rRNA from 1 species
UUUUGUACAAUAAGAGAUGAGGUGUAAAGGCGCCGUGUGUUCAACAGAAAUAUAGCCUAAUUAUUAUUGAGUGAGUGCUCAGAGAAGGUGAAAAGCCUGUAUGGUUGUAUUCAUCUGUUGAACCGUGACGCUAAAGAGUCUAGUUGUUUGAGAGUACAACUUAAAGCUGGUGGUAAAUUUCAUCAAAGGCUAAAUAUAAGAGGGGACUAAUAGCGAACAAGUACCAUGAGGGAAAGUUGAAAAGAACUCUGACGAGAGAGUUCAACAGUACGUGAAACCAUAUUGAGUAAAACAGAUAACUGUGUUGUUAUGUGGUGUGCCUAUCAACAGCCAAUUUGGUGAUGUGAUGUCAUGAGUGAAAGCUGUCUAUUCAGCUGCUCGCUCGUGGUUAACAUAACCUGAGGUUCUGUGCACUAGUGCGCACUCAAUCAUUGAGAAACUAUGCUGCUGCAGCAUCGAUGUGUAUCAGUCUGUACCUAGUACACAGUUACAUGUUGGGCAUUAGCUAGCUGGCGUAGUUUAGCUGUGCGACAGCUGUGGGUAGCGUUUAUCGAAUGCGGCUGCUGUAUCUGCGAAAUGGUUCAUUCCUUUUUGCGGCGAGCAUGUCGCUGUAGGUAAGCCACCCGCCAUCAAUGAUUAACAUUAGUUAUUUGACCCGUCUUGAAACACGGAAAGGAGUUCAAAUGGCACGCGAGUCAUUGGGUUUUAACACCCGAAGGCGAAGUGAAAUGCAAACGUAUUGUUAUUUGUGGUUGUUCCAUGAUGAAGCGAUAAGCUACUCAUGCUUUCUGGCAUUUGUAGACUACAAGCGUGAUGUUUGAGACCCGAAAGAUGGUGACCUAUGCCUAGUCAAGAUGAAGCCAGAGGAAACUCUGGUGGAUGUCUGAAGUUAUUCUGACGUGCAAAUCGAUAAUCUGAUCUGGGUAUAGGGGCGAAAGACUAAUCGAACCAUCUAGUAGCUGGUUCCUUCCGAAGUUUCCCUCAGGAUAGCAAGCGUACACUUUUAGUUUCAUCCCGUAAAGCGAAUGAUUAGAGGCCUUGGGGCGUAUAUAGCCUCAACCUAUUCUCAAACUUUUAAUGGGUGUGAGUGUUCUUUCUCAAUUGAAGAACGCUGCUAAAUAAGUAUGCUUAGUGGGCCAUUUUUGGUAAGCAGAACUGGCGCUGUGGGUUGAACCAAUUGUUGAGUUAAAGUGCCUAAAGCUGGAAUGCGCAUGAGAUCUACAAAGGGUGUUAGUUGCUGAAGACAGCAGG